rnacentral:lncRNA from 1 species
UUGUGUAGAGUGUUCUGGAUAUAGUGAAGUGUGUAUGAAAGUUGUGAGUGAUCAAUAAGGAAUCAGUUACUCCUAAUAAGGAGAGCAAACAUCCUAUGUGAUCUCAUAGGUUGGUGAUUCGGAAGUCUUUAGCCAAAGCAAGAUGAUAAUUAGAAAAAGAUUUUUAAUGGAUCAUCAACUGAAUCAUCACCUUCAGAUCGAGAUACAUAUUGAUAAGUG